UAACCUUGCAAGUUGUGGUUUUGUAAAGUUGAGUCAAGUCCAACUUAAAUUUUAUCAUAGAAUGCAAAAUGUAACUUACUUUAGUUGUCAAAUGCAAAAUGUAGGACUUCCCACUUAUGAAAUAUCAGAACAAUAUCCUUUGUAUCUUUUCAUUGUCUUCGAUGAAUUCAAUUUUUUACUGUGAGAAAAUUAGAGAUCCAUUGCAUAAAAUACAGUGAGGUUAUUGCAACUAAC
rnacentral:lncRNA from 1 species